GGGAACAACUGCAGCUCAGUAAUAGAGCAUCUGCUUAUCAAGCAGAAGCUCCCAGUUUCAAUCUCUGGCAUUUCCA